UACGUAGGUGGCGAGCGUUGUCCGGAUUUAUUGGGCGUAAAGGGCGCGCAGGUGGUGCGGUAAGGCUGCCGUGAAAUCUCCCGGCUCAACUGGGAGGGUGCGGUGGCGACUGCCGGACUGGAGGCACUCAGAGGCCGGUGGAAUUCCCGGUGUAGUGGUGAAAUGCGUAGAGAUCGGCAGGAACACCCAGGGGGGAAACCAGUGGACUGGGCAGGAGCUGACGGCUCA
rnacentral:rRNA from 1 species